rnacentral:rRNA from 1 species
GACGAACGCUGGCGGCGUGCUUAACACAUGCAAGUCGAACGGAAAGGCCCUGCUUGCAGGGUGCUCGAGUGGCGAACGGGUGAGUAACACGUGGGUGAUCUGCCCCUUACUUUGGGAUAAGCCUGGGAAACUGGGUCUAAUACUGGAUAGGACCAUGCUGUAGGUGGUGAAGGGCGAAUUCCACAGUGGAUAUCAAGCUUAUCGAUACCGUCGACCUCGAGGGGGGGCCCGGUACCCAGCUUUUGUUCCCUUUAGUGAGGGUUAAUUA